GAGGGAUGGCCGAGUGGUUGAAGGCGGCGGUCUUGAAAACCGUUAGGCGUUAACGCGUCUCGGGGGUUCGAAUCCCUCUCCCUCC
rnacentral:tRNA from 1 species